rnacentral:rRNA from 1 species
UACGAAGGGGGCUAGCGUUGCUCGGAAUUACUGGGCGUCAAGGGCGCGUAGGCGGAUAGUUUAGUCAGAGGUGAAAGCCCAGGGCUCAACCUUGGAAUUGCCUUUGAUACUGGCUAUCUUGAGUUCGGGAGAGGUGAGUGGAAUGCCGAGUGUAGAGGUGAAAUUCGUAGAUAUUCGGCGGAACACCAGUGGCGAAGGCGACUCACUGGCCCGAUACUGACGCUGAGGCGCGAAAGCGUGGGGAGCAAACAGG